UACAGAGGGGGCAAGCGUUAUUCGGAAUUAUUGGGCGUAAAGGGCGCGUAGGCGGCCUGGCAAGUGGAUGGUGAAAUCCCUCGGCUUAACCGAGGAACUGCCAUCCAGACUGCUUGGCUUGAGACCGGGAGAGGUGAGUGGAAUUCCCAGUGUAGCGGUGAAAUGCGUAGAUAUCGAGAGGAACACCUGCGGCGAAGGCGGGUUGCUGGGCUGAUACUGACGCUGAGGCGCGAAAGCCAGGGGAGCGAACGGG
rnacentral:rRNA from 1 species